rnacentral:rRNA from 1 species
CCUACGGGGGGCAGCAGUGAGGAAUAUUGGUCAAUGGGCGCGAGCCUGAACCAGCCAAGUAGCGUGAAGGAUGACUGCCCUACGGGUUGUAAACUUCUUUUAUAAAGGAAUAAAGUGAGGCACGUGUGCCUUUUUGUAUGUACUUUAUGAAUAAGGAUCGGCUAACUCCGGGCCAGCAGCCGCGGUAAUACGGAGGAUUCGAGCGUUAUCCGGAUUUAUUGGGUUUAAAGGGAGCGUAGAUGGGUUGUUAAGUCAGUUGUGAAAGUUUGCGGCUCAACCGUAAAAUUGCAAUUGAUACUGGCGGCCUUGAGUACAGUUGAGGUAGGCGGAAUUCGUGGUGUAGCGGUGAAAUGCUUAGAUAUCACGAAGAACUCCGAUUGCGAAGGCAGCUUACUAAACUGCCACUGACAUUGAUGCUCGAAAGUGUGGGUAUCAAACAGGAUUAGAUACCCUGGUAGUC